rnacentral:rRNA from 1 species
UACGUAGGGUGCGAGCGUUGCCCGGAUUUAUUGGGCGUAAAGGGCGCGUAGGCGGCUCUGCACGUUCGUUGUGAAAUCGCCCGGCUCAACUGGGCGGGGUCAGCGGAUACGGCAGAGCUUGAGCAAGCUAGGGGGCAAUGGAAUUCCCGGUGUAGUGGUGGAAUGCGUAGAUAUUGGGAGGAACACCAGUGGCGAAGGCGGCUCACUGGACCGGUACUGACGCUGAUGCGCGAAAGCGUGGGGAGCAAACGGG